rnacentral:rRNA from 1 species
UACGAAGGGGGCUAGCGUUGUUCGGAAUUACUGGGCGUAAAGCGCGCGCAGGCGGUUUCUCAAGUCAGUGGUGAAAGCCCGGAGCUCAACUCCGGAACUGCCAUUGAAACUGUGAAACUUGAGGACGAGAGAGGUGAGUGGAAUUCCCAGUGUAGAGGUGAAAUUCGUAGAUAUUGGGAAGAACACCGGUGGCGACGGCGGCUCACUGGCUCGUUUCUGACGCUCAGGCGCGACAGCGUGGGGAUCAAACAGG